rnacentral:rRNA from 1 species
GGAUUAGAUACCCUGGUAGUCCACGCCGUAAACGAUGGUCACUAGCUGUUCGGUUUUUAACUGAGUGGCUAAGCGAAAGUGAUAAGUGACCCACCUGGGGAGUACGUUCGCAAGAAUGAAACUCAAAGGAAUUGACGGGGGCCCGCACAAGCGGUGGAGCAUGUGGUUUAAUUCGAUGAUACGCGAGGAACCUUACCAGGGCUUAAAUGUAGAGUGACAGGGGUAGAGACACCCUUUUCUUCGGACACUUUACAAGGUGCUGCAUGGUUGUCGUCAGCUCGUGCCG